rnacentral:rRNA from 1 species
GUCUAUGGUCAUAGCACUCUGCACAUGCCCAAUCUUGUCUGAUCUCAGAAACUAAGCAGGGUCUGGCCUGGUUACUUCUUGGUUGGGAGAAUAAACU